GACAUUGGGUUCACUAACCCAAAUACCAUAAAUGAAAGGUCGGUUAGAAACAGAGUUAAAGAUACUGAGGACAACUUGCUACAAUCGACUACAUCAAAAUCAAAACAAAGGGAAAAUACUCUUUCCUUACAACUUCAAGUGAGUGUUACUGUCUUGUGCAUAUUCGGUUUCGCUUACUCGAGGUUAAUUAUAGUAAUGUAAUUGAUGAGUUAUGCAUGCGUGUGCAGCUUCCACUUUAUUUUGCUGGAGAUUAAGCUUGAACGGGGAGUAGUAAGUGUCUUAGACUCGAGACGAAAAGACCCACAGGACUAUGCGGACAUGACUGCAAUGCUCCAGAAGUAAGUUUAAUCGAUCAUUAUCGCACCAUAUCGGCAACUUUGUUCAUUUUUCGAUAUCAAGUAAUUAUUUUCUUUGUCUGACAGGGUUGGAAAGAGUUCACCGGAAUAGCUCCGGGACUGCCGAGGGAGCUGCGAUUUACCCACCCAAAAGUAAGUAGUAAUAGCUAGUUCCGUGCAUAUCCCAUUGAUUCUAGUUUUAUGAAUACCAUUUAUCAUGUUUGAUUAUCAGUUUAUUUGAACUCUAUUUCUCGUGAAGUGCUUAUGGCAGGAAGGCGGGAAUAAUUUAUGUGGAUACUACGUUUGCGAGUUCAUCUACAAUGCGACCUCUCAGUGGGGCUAUUCUGAUGAACAAUAUGAAGUACGUAAACUAUAGUAUUCACAAUUUUAUUUUAUUAGCAUCAAUUGUGUUGAAUUACAUUCAUAUACAUUGGUAAACAAUAUGAAGCGGGACUAAAGGUAUAUUUUGGAAAUAUUGUUUUUCUGAUUUUUUUUUUAAAAUUGACUUUUUAUUUGAAUUUCUUUUCUAAUUUUCAAAUUUUCUGAAUUAUUUGAUAAUUUAAUAUCUAAUCACCCCUCAUCACUACUCACUGCUCAAUUAUGAAACCACUCAUUCGAAAUCGUCUAACUUCUUGACCGAUCACCCAUCCUCUCACUAUAGCCUAAGCACGAUUAACUUUCGAGUUCUAUUCUCGCUAGUUUCCAAGUNNN
rnacentral:lncRNA from 1 species